rnacentral:lncRNA from 1 species
CUUUUUGCCAUUUCUUUAGCCGCUCCCUCGGCAAAUGGAGAUUCCCAGAAAAGGCAAAAAAAGACUAAAUAAAUAAAUAAAUAAAUAAAACUGUUAGAGAAAUUACUACUAAAGAGAUACUGUUGUAGAUAUAGAAUAGCUAAAUUUAGAUCUGAUAAUACAUAUUAAAAUUACAAAAAGAUAUUUCACUUUUCCAACUUCUCUGAAAAAUUUCAAACUUAAGUAACUUCCAAUCGCAGUAGCCACAGAGAAUACCCUCGACCUAGUUUAAUAACAUAUUUUUAACCGCUUGCCACAUUUGCCCUUCCCUGUUUAUGGGUAUCUGCUUGUAUGUGUGCAUAUCUGUAUACAUACAUACACUGCUUUUGCUGAACCAUUUGAGAGUUACUUGUAAAAGUCCAUGGCACUUGAUCCAUAUGUACUUCAGUAUGUAUCACCAAACAGUGACACUCUACAUAACUGCGAUGAUAUAAUUAUCAUGUUCAGGAAACUUUACACUGAUACUGCAUAUAAUUUACAAUCUGUAUUUCUUUUGCCAUUUGUCUCCAAGGCACUCUAACCUUCUGUUGGUUUUGCUGUUUUAUUGUUUUCUUUUUAAAAUUAGGAUCCAAACAAUCAUCAUUCUCUUUUCAGUUAGAGAAAUUCCCUACUUUUGUUUAGUUUUUCCACAUCACUGACAUUUUGGAAGAGUCUAGGUCAGUUGCUUUUCAGACUCUUCCUCUCAUUUCAAAUUUGUCUGAGGAUUCUACUUAGGUUACACAUUAUUGUCAGGAAUAUAACAAAAGAGGCACCUUUUCCUCUUCUGAAGUACAACAUAUUAGGAGGCACGUGAUGCGACACUGUCCUUUACUGGUGUUGUGAAAUUUAAUCAUAUAGUUAAGAUGGUAGCUGCCAGAUUUCUCCAUUUUGUAAGUAUCUUUCUUAUUAAUAAGUUAUCUGUGAAUUGAUCCAUAUAAUUUUAUUUUUAUUAAAGAAGAUAAUUAUAUUUCUAUUUUUAUUUUUUUACCCAACAAUUUUAGCAUCAACUGGUGACUAUUGCCUGAAUUGAUUUAUUGUAAAUAAAAGUAAUUUUCCAUUCCUCAUAUACUUUCUACAUUUAUUAGCAGGCAUUCUUCUAUAAAAAAGCACUUUCCCAUCAUCUGUUUUCUAAUUUAUGUAUCGAUGUGACUUAUGGAUUACUGUUUUUAAAUCAGUGUGUUAUAACCCAUUUUUAUCAUUAUUUAUUUGAUUGGGGACAUGAGUGUCCCAAAUAUGUCCAGAUGGAGCCCCUUUAAAGUUGGCUUCUGUGAACUUUGGACAUGUUUUUUUCAGUUUUUUAGUUUGUCUUAAAAUACAUUCUAAAAAUAAUGACAUUUCAAAACAGAAGUCCAUAUUAUAUCCAUUAGAACUCUACUAAAAGUAUUCCUUCCAAAUUAGGGGUCAAAUAAGGAUAUUAAUUAUUACCAAUAUUAUUUUAAAUGUUUUUGAAUAUUUUUAUACAUAAAAACAGAAAAAGAAACAUAAUAGAUUAAUAAAACACAUAGAGAGAUAAAAUAUUAUUUGAAUAAAAUGAUUAUAUGCUAUGAAAUCUAAAACAACCAGUGCAGAAAUUAUAGAACCAAUGAGUUUAAUAAAUUUUCCAGAUAUAAGUACACUAAAGUAAUAUCACCAAGUUAUAACUAGGUAGAAAAUAGAAAGGAAAAAGAGAGUUCAUUCUAAAUAACAAGGAAAAACUGCAUUAUUUAGAAUGUAACUUAAUAAAAGCUGCAUUUAAUCUCUAUGAAGACAAACAUUAAAUUUAAUUAGUAGAUUUGACUUAAAUAAAUGGAGACAUAUUCUUGAAUGGGUGGUCAUAUCAUAAAAUGAGGUUUUUAAAAUACAGUGGAUUAAACCUGUGUUUAUCUCUACUCCUUUCUGAAACACCAUUUAAAUGACAGUAUAUUUAUAUAUUUUUUAAAUCGUACUACACAAGCAAAAAUGAAAAAGGAGACAAAAACAGAUGAUGAUAUCAAAACACUUUUGGAAACUGAAAGCUGGAUUGAUUAAAGUUAAGCCAAGGAGUGAGAAGAUAAGGGAGAAAGAAAAGGAGGUAGGCAGGAAGAAAGGGAGAAAGAGGGGAAAGAGAGAGAGGCAGUUCUAUUUUAGAACCUCAGAAAAGCUUAGGAAUUGUAUUUCUGGAUAGAAGGGUGGAAUAGGGUAGGGCUUUAAAUGGAAAGAUUUGUUCACAAUUUUUUAAAAGAAGAUGCCAAACUGAUCUUCCUUACUCAGUAGCCAGGUGACUACUCAAGUAGCUGACUGGAAUUUUAUUCUGUAGAGGGUUGAACCAGAGAGGACUUAGAUAAUGAGUCAACAAAAAGAGUUGAAAGUGGAAUAAAUUGCCUUGUUUAACAACUGGGAUUAAGUAAAUGUUUAUUAUACCACUCCCUUCCCUCCCUUUCUACUGACUGCCUCCCAGAAGCUGGCAUCCAGGCUUUUCUUCCAGAGCCAAGACACCGGAAAAUUCCUCUCCCUAUAAUCUGAAUUGCCUAGGAGUAAACACCUGGAGAUACUGACUUUUGGUGAUCUUCCAACAAAGAGGACAGUUCAUUGCUCAAUCAAAUCUCAGUGAAGCUACCCAAUCAACAAGCUCUGCUCAUAACAGACAGGAAUUCAAACCACAGAAACAGAAAAUGGUGAACUUGGAGAAAAUCAUUCAAUUCAGGAAACAGAAGAAACUUCAAAAAUUUAUUUAAAAACCUCACGGAAAUAAGAAACUACAUUGUAUCCCAGAAACAAGAAUUAGAAACUAAAGAAAAGAAAUUUUCAGAGAACAAGAAAGAUCAGCAAUGGUAAGAAACAAAAACAAAAACAUAGUGAUAAAAGGAUUCAAAGAUAAAGCUAAAAACUCUUCUCUAAGGUAGAAAUAAAAUGAUAGAGAAAUGAACAAUAGAAAACAAAAGAUAUGACCAUCAGGGUCUAAGAGGUCCAACAUCCAAAUAAAACUUCUGCAACAACAACAACAACAAAAUUGUCAACAACAGCAAAAUUAGAAGACAGGAAACUACCAAAGAAAUAAAACAUGAAAAACUCCCAAACCCAGGUCAAAGGAUGAAAAUCGAACAAACAACAAGGUAAAUUAUUAAGAAAGUAUAAAAACACUAAGGAAAAAGAGAAGAUGCUAAAAACAUUCCAGACACUGGACAGGGAGAACUCCUACACCUAAGAUGAGACUCUGAAAGUGACUGUUCUUUUUAAUGAUAAUACUGGAAACUAAAAGAUAAUGGUCAUAAAAAUCCUGAAAUAGAUAUGGGAUUCAGAAAACUGAAUUAAAACUAGUAUUCAUCGCUGUUAUUAUUUCCUGUUAACAAUUAUGGAACACAAUUAUAGAAACACUAACAGAAAAAGCUCAGAGUCAGAAAUACAAUCAGACAAACCCAGAUUGAAUUCUAGUUCAAUCUCUCACUAGCUUUGUAAUCAAUGGGUUACUUACUUUCUUUACACUUGUUUCAUCUUUAAUAAGAACAUAUUAAUGCAUAAUUCAUACAGUUAUUCAAAGAAUGA